rnacentral:pre_miRNA from 1 species
AGCCUUCUGUAUUCGUGCUGAGAUUUCGUCACACACCGAACCACAAGGGCUGAUGAGGAUCCCCAGAUAAGUGAAGCG